rnacentral:rRNA from 1 species
UACGUAUGUCUCGAGCGUUACCCGGAAUCACUGGGUGUAAAGGGUUCGUAGGUGGUUUAUUAAGUUGAAUAUAAAAGACCGAGGCUCAACCUCGUGUUUGUGUUCAAAACUGCUAGACUAGAAUCAGGGAGAGGUAAGCGGAAUUCUGUGUGUAGGGGUGCAAUCCGUAGAUACACAGAGGAACACCAAAAGCGAAGGCAGCUUACUGGAACUGUAUUGACGCUCAUGAACGAAAGCGUGGGGAGCGAAAAGG